UACGUAGGGUGCAAGCGUUUAAUCGGAAUUACUGGGCGUAAAGCGUGCGCAGGCGGUUUUUUAAGCCAGAUGUGAAAUCCCCGGGCUCAACCUGGGAACUGCAUUUGGGACUGGAAGGCUAGAGUAUGGGAGAGGGAAGCGGAAUUUCUGGUGUAGCAGUGAAAUGCGUAGAUAUCAGAAGGAACAUCAGUGGCGAAGGCGGCUUCCUGGACCAAUACUGACGAUCAGGUGCGAAAGCGUGGGGAGCAAACAGG
rnacentral:rRNA from 1 species